UUGGGGUAGCCCCCAAAAUAUUGGGAUAUAUAAAAAAAGACAACUCUGUUCCGCAGAGUAGCUGUUGACAUUAUAGUUGCUCAGGCACUUUGUUGACUCUAGAGAACCUCGGGCUAAUCGCACAUACCCGUGGCGGCGACUUUGCAUGCGGAUGUCAUCCAUAUCAACUUUCAAUGUCGGUUUCUGCGCCUACCAUGGUGACUAUGGGUAACGGGGAAUCAGGGUUCCAUUCCGUACAGGGAACCUGAGAAACAGCUACCACAUGCAAGGAAGGCAGCAGGCACGCAAAUAACCCACUCCCGACGCAGGAAUGUAGUGACGA